rnacentral:rRNA from 1 species
UGUGUAGGCGGUUUCUCCAAGUUUGGUGUGAAAUCUCCCGGCUCAACCGGGAGGGUGCGCCGAAAACUGGAGGGCUAGAGUGCGGGAGGGGAGAGUGGAAUUCCUGGUGUAGCGGUGAAAUGCGUAGAUAUCAGGAGGAACACCGGUGGUGUAGACGGCUCUCUGGACCGUAACUGACGCUGAGACACGAAAGCGUGGGUAGCAAACAGGAUUAGAUACCCUGGUAGUCCACGCCCUAAACGAUGCAUAUUUGGUGUGGGUCAUUCAGUUGAUCCGUGCCGGAGCUAACGCGUUAAAUAUGCCGCCUGGGGGAGUACAGUCGCAAGGCUGAA